ACGAACGCUGGCGGCGUGCUUAACCCCUGCAAGUCGAACGGAAAGGCCCUGCUUUUGUGGGGUGCUCGAGUGGCGAACGGGUGAGUAACACGUGAGUAACCUGCCCUUGACUUUGGGAUAACUUCAGGAAACUGGGGCUAAUACCGGAUAGGAGCUCCUGCUGCAUGGUGGGGGUUGGAAAGUUUCGGCGGUUGGGGAUGGACUCGCGGCUUAUCAGCUUGUUGGUGGGGUAGUGGCUUACCAAGGCUUUGACGGGUAGCCGGCCUGAGAGGGUGACCGGCCACAUUGGGACUGAGAUACGGCCCAGACUCCUACGGGAGGCAGCAGUGGGGAAUAUGGCACAAUGGGCGGAAGCCUGAUGCAGCAACGCCGCGUGCGGGAUGACGGCCUUCGGGUUGUAAACCGCUUUCGCCUGUGACGAAGCGUGAGUGACGGUAAUGGGUAAAGAAGCACCGGCGAACUACGU
rnacentral:rRNA from 1 species